AGACGUGAAGGUGAUCUGGCCAGGUAUUUGGUUGUCUAAUUGAUACCCAGGGUUGGUUUGGCUCUUCUGAGUAGCUGAGCAGGUGACCAUUUCUCCCUCAGUGCUCCAUAUGCAUCCCUUCUAAAGCUACACACUGGGUUGAAGAGGCUGACUUUCUUUGAUAAAGGGAAAAUAUCCUUGGGUCAAGAGCAUACAAGUGAUUGUGUUCCCUGCUAGAAAGAACAAACAAGCAAGAUUUUAUACAAUAUAAAAUUUUAGCCACCUGUGGUGACACAUGCCUUU
rnacentral:snRNA from 1 species